AUAUAUAAAACGUAUAUAUCUAAAUAUAUAACAUCCCCCGGCAGAAAGAAAAUUCCCAAUGAGUUUUUGCAUAUAUGGAAUUCAGAUUCACAAUCAAAUAAAAAUACAUGAUCAAUAUUACAAUACUAUCUUUCUAACUUUCAAAAUAUUCACAAUUCUCUAUCUUUCAAUAUAUAUCUUAACGAACAAUUAACUGGUAUGGAUAACUUGGUGGAAUACGCAUCUUGGAACAAAUUGCGGAGUACUACAUGUAUAAAAAU
rnacentral:lncRNA from 1 species